rnacentral:rRNA from 1 species
UACGUAGGGUGCAAGCGUUAAUCGGAAUUACUGGGCGUAAAGCGUGCGCAGGCGGUUGUGUAAGUCCGAUGUGAAAUCCCCGGGCUCAACCUGGGAAUGGCAUUGGUGACUGCACGGCUAGAGUGUGUCAGAGGGGGGUAGAAUUCCACGUGUAGCAGUGAAAUGCGUAGAGAUGUGGAGGAACACCGAUGGCGAAGGCAGCCCCCUGGGUUAACACUGACGCUCAGGCACGAAAGCGUGGGGAGCAAACAGG